UGUUAAAACCAAAUUCAACAACAAGGAAAGAUUCCUAAUGAAAUGGGGAUGGAGCCAUAGCACUGAAAUUCAAAUUCUAGCAAGAGCGUUAGAGAAAAGGAAAAAGAAGGGGAGUGAAGAGUAUUGAUCACCAGUAGAGGAGAAGCAUCUAACCCUGGGCCUUGGGUGGGGAUAGGGGUGUAAACGAACCGAGCCGAGCCGAGCUUUGAAGAGCUCAAGCUUGGUUCGUUAAAAUUUUUUCGAGAUCGAGCCGAAUUCGAGCUUUACUCAUAUCGAACUCGAGCCGAGUAUUAAGAAGCUCAAGCUUGGCUCGUUUAGCAAACGAGCUUAGACGAGUCGAGCUUUUAUCGAGCUGAGUCGAGCUUUUAUCGAGCUGAAUCUCAAAUAGUUCACGAAUAAUUUAAUUUAUUUAAAUGUAUAAUGAGUUUUAGUUUAAAACUAAUAAGUUUAAAACUAAAAUAAUUUUAGAUAAAUAAGUAUAUCUACAAAUUAGCAUGUAAACUUAUAAAAAUGAGUUUUUAAAUCUUAAUGAUCUAAAUAUAUGCAAGUUUAAGAGUGUAACUAAACUAUAUAGAGAUGAAUUUUAAAAAAUUCAGAUUUGGCUCAUGAAAGUAUAUGCAGGGUUUAGUUUAUUUCUCUUAUGAUAGUAAUUUCAGUUUACUUAACGAGACUGUUCACGAGCCUAUUCGCGAGCCUGCUCAUAAACUCAGAAACGAGUCGAGCUCACGAGCCUUAACGAGCCGAAUACUAUGGAGCUCAAGCUUGGCUCGUUUACCAAACGAGCCUAAAAAUUAAGCUCGAGCUUGGCUCGUUUAGAAAUCGAGUCGAGCUCGGUCGAGUUUUUAUCGAAUCAAAUCUCGAAUAGCUCACGAACGGCUUGACUCAUUUACACCCCUAGGUGGGGAAGAGAGAGUGCGGUAAUGGGAGGGGUUGCGUGCACCACUCCAAACGCUGCUCCUAUCUUCAUUUUGCUUCGCCCAGUAAUUUUUGCCUGCCAAUUGGUUUUUUGGUUUCUUUAACACGUGGGAUAAGACCACAACCC
rnacentral:lncRNA from 1 species